GACGAACGCUGGCGGCGUGCUUAACACAUGCAAGUCGAACGGUGAAGCGCCUUCCUUUUUGGUGGGUGUGGAUGAGUGGCGAACGGGUGAGUAACACGUGAGUAACCUGCCCCCUUCUUCUGGAUAACCGCAUGAAAGUGUGGCUAAUACGGGAUAUUCUGGGUCUGUCGCAUGAUGGGUCUGGGAAAGAUAUUGUUUCGGUGGGGGAUGGGCUCGCGGCCUAUCAGCUUGUUGGUGGGGUGAUGGCCUACCAAGGCGGUGACGGGUAGCCGGCCUGGGAGGGUUGGCCGGUCCCCUGGGACCUGGGCCCCGGCCCAGCCUCCUCGGGAGGCAGCAGUGGGGAAUAUUGCACAAUGGGCGCAAGCCUGAUGCAGCGACGCCGCGUGAGGGAUGGAGGCCUUCGGGUUGUGAACCUCUUUCGCCAGUGAAGCAGGCCUGCCUCGUUUGUGGGUGGGUUGACGGUAGCUGGAGAAGAAGCGCCGGCUAACUACGUG
rnacentral:rRNA from 1 species